GACGGACGCUGGCGGCGUGCUUAACACAUGCAAGUCGAACGGAAAGGCCCUGCUUUUGUGGGGUGCUCGAGUGGCGAACGGGUGAGUAACACGUGAGUAACCUGCCCUUGACUUUGGGAUAACUUCAGGAAACUGGGGCUAAUACCGGAUAGGAGCCCCUGCUGCAUGGUGGGGGUUGGAAAGUUUCGGCGGUUGGGGAUGGACUCGCGGCUUAUGAGCUUGUUGGUGGGGUAGUGGCUUACCAAGGCUUUGACGGGUAGCCGGCCUGAGAGGGUGACCGGCCACAUUGGGACUGAGAUACGGCCCAGACUCCUACGGGGGGCAGCAGUGGGGAAUAUUGCACAGUGGGCGGAAGCCUGAUGCAGCAGCGCCGCGUGCGGGAUGACGGCCUUCGGGUUGUAAACCGCUUUCGCCUGUGACGAAGCGUGAGUGACGGUAAUGGGUAAAGAAGCACCGGCUAACUACGUG
rnacentral:rRNA from 1 species